rnacentral:rRNA from 1 species
UACGAAGGGGGCUAGCGUUGCUCGGAAUUACUGGGCGUAAAGGGCGCGUAGGCGGAUACUUAAGUCGGGGGUGAAAGCCCGGGGCUCAACCUCGGAAUUGCCUUCGAUACUGGGUAUCUUGAGUUCGGGAGAGGUGAGUGGAAUGCCGAGUGUAGAGGUGAAAUUCGUAGAUAUUCGGCGGAACACCAGUGGCGAAGGCGACUCACUGGCCCGAUACUGACGCUGAUGCGCGAAAGCAUGGGGAGCGAACAGG